ensembl:lncRNA
GUGAAACAGAGGAGAGAGGAACAAUACAACAGCAGAUGCAGGAGAUAAGAUUGAAGUUAGAUUUAUACAUGCUAACUGAUAAAGCCCAGUCAUGGUUGGGAUUUCCGGAUGAUAGAACAAAACUAGGCGGAGGAAGAGAAGGGACUGUUGACUCAACAAGCAGUGCUGACAGAUGAGCUGAGGAGAGGAGGAGCCAGAUAAAGGAGACAAAGAGAUCCUGGGCCAGCGAGGAGAAAGCAAUGAAACAUUCAAUAGAGGCAGAAAGAAAGAUGAAGGUGCAGGAGGAAAGGAGAGAAAUAGUGGGAGCAGAGUGUCCACCAUUGGUAGUGUGCUGAGCUCAUGUGUCCUGUAAAAAUCCAAUCCUUCAGACUUGGCAGAUAGUGUUACCAUGAGAACAGCAGUGGGGUUAUUGUGAAGAGAGAGAGAGAAGGAGGAAGUGAAAGAGAGAGAGAGCAAGAGAGACGGGGAAAGGCCAGACUUGCUCCAGCAACCAUCUGUUACUCCAGCUUACGCUGGCACCGAGACCGACCUGCCUCUGGAAAGGAAUGUAGAAGUCCAACCAUGAGAAAGGCUGGAGCAACAAAAAAGCCCAGCACCAUGUGGGAGUAUUCUUUUAUGUGUGAAUUAACAAAGAUAACUUUCUUUAUUUUUUAUUUUUAUUUAUUUUUUUGUUCUUCAACCUUUUUUACAGAACGUGUUAGAACAUAAGUGCUUCAGAGUAAGCACAGUCUGUAUCUGCAGUAAAAAUGUUUUUCCUCUGAAAGUUUUAGCAUUUUACUGAAGAUGGAGGUUUUUUCUUUUCUUGCAGUUUUGCUAGUUUUCUCAAUCAGUGAGCAACGGCAUUGACAAAAGGAGUUUUUAUUAUUUGGCAUCACAAAAACAUGCUAUGUCACGAUGACAAGUGCAUAAUAAGGUGCUAAUAAGCCACAUGUGUUUCCUGCAUAAAGGGCUUGUGGUCCGCAGCUGCUGGAUGCUUAAGCUCCAGAGCUAGUAGAUAUGGCCCCAACGUGGCAUCAACACAACAC